rnacentral:rRNA from 1 species
CUCGUAGGCGGUUCGUCGCGUCCGGUGUGAAAGUCCAUCGCUUAACGGUGGAUCCGCGCCGGGUACGGGCGGGCUUGAGUGCGGUAGGGGAGACUGGAAUUCCCGGUGUAACGGUGGAAUGUGUAGAUAUCGGGAAGAACACCAACGGCGAAGGCAGGUCUCUGGGCCGUCACUGACGCUGAGGAGCGAAAGCGUGGGGAGCGAACA